AAACUGCGAUAAGUAGUGUGAAUUGCAUUUAGUGAAUCAUCGAAUCUUUGAACGCACCCUGCACUCACUGGUAUUCCGGUGAGUACGCCUGUUUCAGUAUCAUUGAAAACACACAAUCAAAACAUUUUCUUUGGUUUGAUUGGCUUUGGGUCUAUCAAAAAGUUUGGCUUGUUUCUUACAAGCCAAGCGGCCUGAAAUAUAUUGUCUGGCUAAUUGCAUCGUUGAUGAUCGCUAUUAGACUUUGGCUUUUUUAAAUGAACUGGAGGUUGAUUAACCAGUUUUAGCGUUAGUCAAAUGGUCAUUGUAAAAAAAAUCUCGAUCUUGGCUAGGUGUUUAUAGCCGAAAAUUUUUUUUUGGCUAUAACCGAAACCAAUAUAAUCACAUUUAGUUAUCGAUCUGAAAUCAGGUGGGACUACCCGCUGAACUUAAGC
rnacentral:misc_RNA from 1 species